GACGAACGCUGGCGGCGUGCCUAAUACAUGCAAGUCGAACGCAGUGGGGACGGGUGCGUAACACGUGGGUAACCUCCCAUCAGAGGGGAUAACACUUGGAAACAGGUCCUAACUCGCUACUGAUGGAUGGACCCGCGGUGCAUUAGCUAGUUGUUGGGGUAACGGCUCAACAAGGCCACGAUGCAUAGCCGACCUGAGAGGGUGAUCGUCCACCCUGGGACUGAGACAGGGCCCAGACUCCUACGGGAGGCAGCAGUAGGGAAUCUUCGGCAAGGGACGAAAGUCUGACCGAGCAACGCGGCGGGAGUGAAGAAGGGUUGCGGUUCGUAAAACUCUGUUGUUAGAGAAGCGGUAUCUAACCAGAAAGCCACGGCUAACUACGUGCCAGCAGCCGCGGUAAUUC
rnacentral:rRNA from 1 species